rnacentral:lncRNA from 1 species
UGAGGUGCAAGGAAAUUGCAGUGCAGUCAUACAAAGGACAUUUCCUCCUAAAUUACAAGAUCCAGGGAGAUUUACCAUUCAAGUGGUUGAAAGAAAAAAGAAAAAUAGAAAAUGUGCAAAAAUAAAGAAGAAAGAAAGAAAAAAGAAAAAGAGAAAGUUGAGGGAGAAGAGUGAGAAAAAGAGGAAGAGAGGAAAGAAGAAAAGAUCAUAUGAAAAGCCCC